UACGUAGGGGGCUAGCGUUGUCCGGAAUCAUUGGGCGUAAAGCGCGUGUAGGCGGUCCGGUAAGUCCGCUGUGAAAGUCGGGGGCUCAACCCUCGGAUGCCGGUGGAUACUGUCGGGCUUGAGUACGGAAGAGGCGAGUGGAAUUCCUGGUGUAGCGGUGAAAUGCUUAGAUAUGGCACAGAACACCAAUUGCGAAGGCAGCUUACUAAGGCGAUACUGACGCUGAGGCACGAAAGCGUGGGGAUCGAACAGG
rnacentral:rRNA from 1 species